rnacentral:rRNA from 1 species
AGCGAACGCUGGCGGCAGGCCUAACACAUGCAAGUCGAGCGCCCCGCAAGGGGAGCGGCAGACGGGAGAGUAACACGUGGGAACGUGCCCUUUGGUUCGGAACAACCCAGGGAAACUUGGGCUACUACCGGAUAAGCCCUUACGGGGAAAGAUUUAGCGCCGAAGGAUCGGCCCGCGUCUGAUUAGCUAGUUGGUGGGGUAAUGGCCCACCAAGGCGACGAUCAGUAGCUGGUCUGAGAGGAUGAUCAGCCUCACUGGGACUGAGACACGGCCCAGACUCCUACGGGAGGCAGCAGUGGGGAAUAUUGGACAAUGGGCGCAAGCCUGAUCCAGCCAUGCCGCGUGGGUGAUGAAGGCCCUAGGGUUGUAAAGCCCUUUCGGCGGGGAAGAUAAUGACGGUACCCGCAGAAGAAGCCCCGGCUAACUUCGUGCCAGCAGCCGCUGUAAUAC